UACGGAGGGUGCUAGCGUUGUUCGGAAUUACUGGGCGUAAAGGGCGCGUAGGCGGCCUGGUCAGUCGGGUGUGAAAGCCCGGGGGUCAACCCCGGAACGGCGCCCGAGACGGACAGGCUGGAGACCGGGAGAGGAGGGUGGAAUAGCCAGUGUAGAGGUGAAAUUCGUAGAUAUUGGCUGGAACAUCGGUGGCGUAAGCAGCUCUCUGGCCCGGUUCUGACGCUAAGGCGCGAAAGCGUGGGGAGCAAACAGG
rnacentral:rRNA from 1 species